UUUGGUGGCGAUAGCGAAGAGGUCACACCCGUUCCCAUGCCGAACACGGAAGUUAAGCUCUUCAGCGCCGAUGGUAGUUGGGGGUCUCCCCCUGUGAGAGUAGGACGCCGCCAGGC
rnacentral:rRNA from 1 species